rnacentral:rRNA from 1 species
CCUACGGGAGGCAGCAGUGGGGAAUAUUGCACAAUGGGCGCAAGCCUGAUGCAGCAACGCCGCGUGAGGGAUGAAGGCCUUCGGGUUGUAAACCUCUUUUAGCAGGGAAGAAGCGAAAGUGACGGUACCUGCAGAAAAAGCACCGGCUAACUACGUGCCAGCAGCCGCGGUAAUACGUAGGGUGCAAGCGUUGUCCGGAAUUAUUGGGCGUAAAGAGCUCGUAGGCGGUUUGUCACGUCUGCUGUGAAAAUCCAAGGCUCAACUUUGGACUUGCAGUGGGUACGGGCAGGCUAGAGUGCGGUAGGGGAGAUGGGAAUUCCUGGUGUAGCGGUGGAAUGCGCAGAUAUCAGGAGGAACACCAAUGGCGAAGGCACAUCUCUGGGCCGUAACUGACGCUGAGGAGCGAAAGCGUGGGGAGCGAACAGGAUUAGAUACCCUGGUAGUCCACGCCGUAAACGGUGGGUGCUAGCUGUGGGCCACAUUCCACGUGGUCCGUGACGAAGUUAACACAUUAAGCACCCCGCCUGGGGAGUACGGCCGCAAGGCUAAAACUCAAAGGAAUUGACGG